GCCUCUGUAACGCUUUGCUCCUAGGGAUUUAGCGGGAAAUCAGGACAGCGCUAAAGGUCUUUAAGAACUCUUAUUUGGUUCUCAUUCCUCCAUGUGAUGACAACAACCAUGGUGAGGACGUGGCACGUGAUCCUAAGGUACACUGGUUUAAUUGUGAAGCUUGAAGAACUAUUUCUCUCUGGAAAUUAUGAUUUGGCACAUUAAAUAGAAAUGCAAGCAGAUGGUGGAGUGUGGGACGUGACAAAGUGUGCAAAUCUCUGAUGCUCCCUGAGUCAUCGACAAACUACCGCUUCUGGUGCUGAAAGGGUGCCGUGGCAGUGUGUGCUGGGCUGUCUACUGAGUGCGUAUGGAGAGCAAGUCCCACCUGUAUCAGGCAGUUCUGCUGAAACCAGAAUGGUGACACACUGGGCAUCACACCGUGCUGCUGCCUCUUCUUUUGACAC